GAUGAAGAACGUAGCGAAAUGCGAUAAGUAAUGUGAAUUGCAGAAUUCAGUGAAUCAUCGAAUCUUUGAACGCACAUUGCGCCCGCCAGUAUUCUGGCGGGCAUGCCUGUUCGAGCGUCAUUUCAACCAUCAAGCCCCCGGCUUGUGUUGGGGACCUGCGGCUGCCGCAGGCCCUGAAAAGCAGUGGCGGGCUCGCUGUCACACCGAGCGUAGUAGCAUACAUCUCGCUCUGGGCGUGCUGCGGGUUCCGGCCGUUAAACCACCUUCAUAACCCAAGGUUGACCUCGGAUCAGGUAGGAAGACCCGCUGAACUUAAGCAUAUCAAUAAGCGGAUGA
rnacentral:misc_RNA from 1 species